UAUAAUAUAUAACAUAUAUAUAACAUAAUAUAAUAUAAUAUAAUAUAUAUAAUAAAUAAUAUAUAUUAUAUUAUAACAUUAUAUAAUAUGUUGUACUAUCUUCUUCUUUUGUGAUCAAACCCAAACCCCAUGAACCACCACCGCCACCACCAAUCCCCAUCUUCCCUUCACUGCGGACGAGCACCAACCGACUUCAACCACCGACGGCCGGCCAGAGAUCACCG
rnacentral:lncRNA from 1 species